AUGGCCACGGACGCCGCGCACCAGGUUUCCGAUCAACCAGUAAAUCUGGACCUCACAGCCUCGCAUCAAAGUGAAAAUGACUCCAUCUCUACAGUUAGUUCAGUGGAAUCAGAGAAGGCGGCUUAUGAAUUCCUUGCUCAAACUCCUAUCAAGUCAACUGAUAAACACCUUGUGGAGUUUUCAGAGGCUAUGAGAACUGUUGCAAAAGCACUGCGACAAGUUGCUGAAGGGAAGGCUGCUGCUCAAGCGGAGGCGGCAGAGUGGAAACGGAAAUAUGAGUUAGAGACGGCGCAAAAGCAACAAACCAGAAUCAAAGACUGUGGCACUUGUACCGAUGAUAACCUAGGGAAAAUGGCCAGCCAACUAUCACUUGAGGCACCUGCAUCUGAUCAAACAGGAUGUUGUGGAAACCAUGGGAUAUGUUCACACGAGGUUCUCCAGGACGAAGUUCCUGGACCUAACCCAAGACCUAGUCUCAGUAUGGUGGGAAGAAAGGCAUCAUUUAGACUUUCAUGGGGAUGCAAUGGGAACAAAAACGGCCAGCACAAGCAUGACUUUGUUUCCUUUGAAAAAGGAGACAUUACAACCGCAGAGCGCAGCAGUAAACAGAUCUUGCUGAAGUGGGAAUCCCGGCCACAAACAGUGCUUUUCAUAACCAAACCCAACUCCAACUCUGUUCGUGUUCUCUGUGCUGAAAUGGUCAGAUGGCUUAAAGAGCACAAAAAUAUUAAUGUCUUUGUGGAACCGUGGGUUAGCAAGGAACUUCUGACAGACGAUUCUAACCACACUGUGCAAACAUGGGAUAAUGACGACGACAAAAAGAUGUUGCACAAGAAGGUUGACCUCAUUGUAACUCUUGGCGGUGAUGGAACUGUUCUAUGGGCGGCAUCAUUGUUCAAAGGACCAGUUCCUCCAGUUGUUGCGUUCGCCAUGGGAUCACUGGGUUUCAUGACACCUUUCCCAAGCGAGCAAUACCGUGGUUGCUUGGACAACGUGCUGAAGGGACCUUUCAGCAUAACACUGAGAAACCGUCUCCAGUGUCAUGUAAUCCGUGACGCAGCCAAGGACGAGAUCGUGACCGAGGAGCCAAUCCUGGUGCUAAACGAAGUUACAAUUGACCGCGGAAUAUCAUCCUACCUUACCUACCUGGAAUGCUACUGCGACAGCUCAUUCGUCACAUGCGUACAAGGGGACGGACUCAUCAUAUCAACCACGUCAGGAAGCACAGCGUAUUCGUUAGCGGCCGGAGGGUCCAUGGUUCAUCCGCAGGUCCCCGGCAUCCUGUUCACGCCGAUCUGCCCCCACUCGCUGUCGUUCAGGCCGCUGAUCCUGCCGGAGUACGUGACGCUGCGCAUCCAAGUGCCCUACAACAGCCGGGGCCACGCGUGGGCGUCCUUCGACGGCAAGGACCGGAAGCAGCUGGCCCCCGGCGACGCGCUCAUCUGCAGCAUCUCCCCCUGGCCGGUGCCGACGGCGUGCCUCGUCGACUCCACCACCGACUUCCUCCGCAGCAUCCACGAGGGCCUCCACUGGAACCUCCGGAAGACGCAGACCCUCGACGGCCCGCGCGACUGA
rnacentral:rRNA from 1 species